GUUUAUUUUGCUUUCAUUUUUUUGUAAUAAUUUCCCUGGAUAUGAGAUUCUCCCUGGACAUUUGUUUUCUCUCUUUCAGCACUUAGUACAUGCUGUUCUCCUGGCUUGCUGGCAUCCAUUGCUUCUGAUGAGAAUUCAGCUCUUCUAUUUACUGAGGUUUCUUGUACCUCAUUUAAGACUGGUAUGUUUCCAUUUUAGUUUCGGGAUGACUCACCAAGGUCUCCGUGAUUGCUUAAGCUCGUUACUCAGGAUGCCAUCACUGCUGGCUAGAAUAUUUCUUUGGGACAAGGGCCUGCUAUGUAUCUAUUUCCAUGUCAAGAAAGCCAUGACAGCUUUGGUGACCAAGAAUGUGGGAUCUUUUGAGGAACCUUAAUUUCAGCAGAGGGCUGGAAACAGGGUAAGGAACUACAAUUGGCAUUGCAAUUCAUUGAUAAUAAAGAGAAAUUAAAGGGACUUCAAACUCAUUUGAAUAACUUUAGUGUCUUUGUGUCCUAGAGUAUUCUGAAAAUACUUUCUUUUUUAAAAAAUUUCUUUUUUUUUUUUAAAGAAAAAAAGAGAAAGAUAAAGGGGGAGAGAGUACAGAAAUCUUGCUCUAUUGCUCAGGCUGGAAUGCAGUCUAAAAAUAGGUAUUAAAAACCUCUUUUAUGCCGAUAAUUGUACUUAUCAGUGGAGACAGGAAGAAAUAAGGGAAGAAAAUAACAAACAGCCAACUAAUAUUUCAUUUAAGUCUGUGAAAUGCUAUGCAAAUGCUGAAGAAUGAUUUACUUCCAAUUAUGCGGUCACUUUCAAAAAUCUAAUUUCUUUACAUUCUUUUUUUUCCACCUGAAACAUGAGAGUUUAAAAUAUCUGACAUCAAGUAAUCCAGCUGGAGAAAUAGCAACUUUGUAUCUAAUCCUAUUACACUUGAUUGCAAAGAGAAAUCAAGAAGUCCCUUCUGUAAUAUUUACCUAAGUAUAUCAUACACAUGUAGUUUGAAUAAGUAGAAUAAAUGUUGGUUAUGUUAAACAGCCUAAUUCAAAAAUCCUGAUUUGAAAUCAAGACUCCUUUUGUAUAUAAUGUCGUGUUUUAUAUUUCAGGGGAAGAAGAGUAAAAAAUUAGGAAUCAAAUUUUACCCUGGGAAGUCCCUGAUAUAAUUCCAGUUUUCCCACUCCUGAAGAUUAAUCUUGAAAGACUUAAGGGAAAAAAAAAAUGUGUAAAGAUGGCUUUAAAAAGUGAAAAGAGAGAAAAAUAUAAAUGCAGUAAAAUGAGAAUUUAGCUACAUGGACUGAGCUACAAUUUGUCAUUCAGAGUGCAAAAGAGAUAUUUGUGAGUUUAGAAUAUGUUCCAUAUUUAUAAUUUUUAUAUAUUUGUGUUCUCAUUUUUGUUAUUUCCAUUUCAACUUGCUUUUAUCUUAUGUUAUAUAUAGUAUCUAUGUAUAAUUUAUAAAAAUGAAAAAAUACAUAAUAAAAUAUUUUGGAAUGCAUGCUAUAAAUCUGAUAGCUGAGCAUGAUCAAUGAAUCUUUGAAGCCCAGAAAUAAAUUUAUGCAUUAUACAUACAGUCGAUUGAUCACCAAGAAGGAUGCCAAAAUCACGCAAUAGGGAAAGUAAAAUCUUUUCAAUAAAUUGUUUUGGAAAAGCUGGGUACUCACAUGCAAGAGAAUGAAUUUGGACCCUUCACAUACACUAUACAUAAAAAUCUACUUAAAAUGGAUAAAAGACAGACAUAAGACCUGAACUAUAAAACUAUUAGGAAAAAACACGGGGACAAACUAUAUGGCAUUGGUCUGGGCAAUGCUUUUUUUGGAAUUGACCCCCAAAGCUCAGCCAACAUAAAACAAAAAUAGACAAAUGGAAAUUCAUCAAACUAAAAAGCUUCUGCACAGCAAAGUAAACAAGUAAUAGAUUGAAGAAGCGAUCUACAGAAUGGAAAAACAGUGUUUGCAAGCCAUACAUCUGAUAAGGCAUUAGUAUUCAAAAUAUAUUAGAAGCUCAAACAGCUCAAUAGCAAGAAAACAACCUGAUUAAAAAAACUGGAAAGAGGAUCCGAAUAGAUACUUCUCCAAAGAAGACAUAAAAAUGGCAAACAGUGAUGUAGAAAAAUUCUGAACCUCAAAAAAGAAGUCAAAAAAUGGCAAACAAUUAUGUAAAAAAAAUUGCCAAUGUCACGAAUUAGGCAAAUUCAAAGUAAAAGUACAAUGAGACAUUACCUCACACCUGUCAGGAUGGCUACUAAAUAUGUAAAAAGAAAAGGUUUUGGUGAAGAUGUGAAAAUAAUGUAAAGACUUGACUACUAUUGGUGAGAAUGUUGACUGGUAGAGCCACUUUGGAAAACAGUAUAAAGGUUUCUCCAAAUAUUAAAAAUAAAACUACCAUAUGGUCCAGCAAUUCCUUUUCUGUGUCUGUGUGUAUAUGUACAUACAUAUACACACACUCAAUAAAUGAUUGAAAUAAGAAUCUCAAAGAGCUAUUAGAAUGCCCAUGUUUAUUGCAGUACUAGUCACAGUAGUCAAGAUAUAGAAACAACCCAGAUGUGAUGAAUAGGUAAAGAAAAUGUGAUAUAGACACGUGCUGGAACAUUACUCAGGCUUUAAAAAGAAAUAAAUUAUACAUUUGUUACAGUAUGGAUGGAUCUGGAGGACACUAUUCUAAAUGAAGUAGCCAGUCUCAGAAAGGCAAAUACUGUAUGAUUCCACUUACGUGAGGUGUCUACAAUAGUCAAACUCAGAGAAUUAAACAGAGUGGUGAUUGCCAGAGUCUGGGUUAGGGGAAGGAUAAGUUGUUAUUCAAAGGUAUACAACUUUGGUUAUGCAAAAUAAAUAGGUUGUAAAUAUUUCAGCACAACACAGUGCCUGGAGUUGACAGUGGCAUAUUUCAUACUCAAAAAUUUGUUCAGAGAGUAGAUCACAUGUUAAGAAUUCUUACCACACACUCACAAGACUAAGAUUUUUAUCUGAAUAUUUUAUGAUUUCAGCUUAUAUUUUACUUGAUCAUCUGCAACUCCGAAUUUAUCUAACAGAAUCUUAAUUCUAAUUCAACAUUCUGUAGUGUAACAAUAACAAGACUGUGGCUUAGAGUUAAUAAAACCGUAAAAUUGAGUAUGGUUAAAGGUAUCCUUUAUACUUAAAUGAUCAUUGUAAUGUGAGCCCAAGUAGGCAGAUUUAACAGGGCUUCUUUGAUUGGCAACAGCAAUUUAGUCCUGCUCCCUGCCUCUCUCUUUCCCCUUCAGAGUGAGAUGGUUUUUAGCUGCAUUGUUGGUAUACGUGCAGCACACUGGUUAAAUUUUAGGGAAAAGUGUCCCUUCCCAGAAGAGAGAGCGCAAUUUGGCCCCCAUAUGGUAUAUCAUCCAUUAUAUAUAUAUAUACACACACACACACACAUACACACACACACAUAUGCACACACAUAUAUGUAUACAUAUAUAUAUACAUAUAUAUGUAUAUAACAUAUAUUUCUUGCUUAGACACAUCUUAUCAGACAACAUCAAAUAAUCAUGAGACUUUGAUAAAAAAAUAACAUUUUGAUCUUUAAAAGAUGUAUAGGAAAUGUGAAGGAAAGGGAGAAGAAAUAAACAAUAGUAUUCAAUGAGGUUUAAUUAUACAUUUGUCCUUAACAUUUUCUUCGGGGUAUGUUUACAAUUUGCAAUUUCAUGUUUCCUGGAUAUAAAUACAUGCGGCAUGUGUGUCUUCCAAAUGAAAAGCAGUAGAUGGUUAAUCAUCUGGUGAAGAAAUUUUAGAAUAUUACACCCACAUUGAAUAUCAGGACAAAGCUU
ensembl:lncRNA